CAAGGCCCUGUCUCUAAAAAAAAAAUUUUAAUGAAAGAACAAAGGCAAGCAGCCUCCUAGGUGCUGAGUUGCUUUAUUCUUACCUAGGGAGAAGGCUACCAUUUACUGAGCCCUAUUCUUUGCCAGCCACAAUGCAUAUUUCCCUGCAUUGUAAUUUACAUUGUUAUUUACAUUGUCAUUGAUGUCUUGUCUCCUUAACAGAGCUGCAUCAUCCUACCACUUCUCUGAUAAGAAUCUUAAGGAAUACUGUACAAUGGUUCCAGGCAUGAAGCAUGUGCUGUCCUGGGCCCUGAAUAUCAAGCCAGGUAGAGGAACCCCAUCCUUCUGUUGUCAUUUCAAGCUAGAGGCUCAAGCCUGGAGGAGUGAGGAUCAAGAUCGAGAACUCAAAGCUGUUUAGAGGAAGAAGCCAAGUUCAAGGAGGAGUGAGGAACGCUUGAGGCGAAACCUUUUGGAAGCUCAGGAAGCUUGGAGGAUUUCGUGGAUUACAGAAUGUUGAAGUUGGAGAACUGUAGAGGGGCCUAAAAAAUGUUCCAGAAUCAAGACGGUGCCUGAUGCCCUACCUAGCCCCUCUCCAGCACACAGGAGCCCCGGGCCCUUGGCAAUCAUGUCUGCGCAGCUUGGACCCCAUAUCCAAAAGGGGAGCACGCCCCAAUUUACUCUCACCCCACCAGGUUAAUCCAUGAGAAGAGCUUGGAACAGCGCCCGGCAGUGUCUCAGCGCACCCAAAGUGUGUGCAGGUAUGAUUACCAUUGCCAGUAGCUGAGCUGGGAAAAGGAUCUGACUAGAUAAUUUUGGCAAUAACUCGACAACUAUCCAAUGUGGACAGGGAAACGCAUGCCAAGGUUUCUAAAAAGCUCCCGCUGUGACACUCUCUGUGUCCUCCCCGGGCGUGGCGGCCUCCUGGCCAGGGACACCCGACCCCGCGUGGUCCGGGCUACCCAAGGACGUCCCGAGGCGUGGCGGAGACUUUGGCGGCUGAGUGCAGGCCGGGCUGCGGCCCAGCGGGACCUGGGCGAGGCCUGCGACCUGGGCGGGGCCAGGGUUGGGCUCUGCCAGAGCUGCGCCGCAGCCGCCCUGCCCGGGCCUCCCCGCCCCCACCUGUGACCUGGAUUCCGCGGUUCCUGCGCGGGGGUGGAGGGCGUAAAGGACACGCGCAAAUAAAGGUCUGUGGCCCAGGAAAACUUCAAGUCCUGAAAUCGGUGCACCAAGGAUACUUUAAGGCGAGGGGUCGGGGCUGUGUAAUCAUUUACCCGGUUCGUCCGUGUACACCGGCCUCUCUAGCUUACACCAACACAUGUUUACUGGGUUCGCACCCAAGCCAGAGUCGGUUUGUUUAGUAAUCCCACAGACGCUUCUGCCCGUUUUCUAGGAGACG
rnacentral:lncRNA from 1 species